rnacentral:rRNA from 1 species
GAUGAACGCGGGCGGCGCGCCUAACACAUGCAAGUCGAACGAUUAAAGCACCUUCGGGUGUGUAUAAAGUGGCGAACGGCUGAGUAACACGUGGGCAACCUGCCCCUUUCAUUGGGAUAGCCACGGGAAACCGUGGAUAAUACCGAAUACUUCGAGACUUCCGCAUGGAAGACUCGAGAAAGCUCCGGCGGAGAGGGAUGGGCCCGCGGCCUGUUAGCUUGUUGGUGGGGUAACGGCCUACCAAGGCAAUGAUGGGUAGCUGGGUUGAGAGACCGACCAGCCAGAUUGGGACUGAGACACGGCCCAGACUCCUACGGGAGGCAGCAGUGGGGAAUCUUGCACAAUGGGCGAAAGCCUGAUGCAGCGACGCCGCGUGCGGGAUGAAGGCCUUCGGGUUGUAAACCGCUUUCAGCAGGGACGAGGCGAAAGUGACGGUACCUGCAGAAGAAGCCCCGGCUAACUACGUG